rnacentral:rRNA from 1 species
CACGUAAGUUGCGAGCGUUGUUCGGAAUUAUUGGGCGUAAAGGGCAUGUAGGCGGUUCUGCAAGUCUGGUGUGAAAUUCCGGGGCUUAACCCCGGAACUGCGUUGGAAACUGCGGAACUGGAGUCACUGAGGUGCAGGCAGAAUUCCAGGUGUAGGGGUGAAAUCUGUAGAUAUCUGGAAGAAUACCAAUGGCGAAGGCAGCCUGCAAGCAGAUGACUGACGCUGAGGUGCGAAGGUGCGGGGAGCAAAC